rnacentral:siRNA from 1 species
UGAGAACUUUACAUUUAACUGUA